GUUCCAUGGUGUGGGCACUUCCUUUGAAGAGUUCCUAUGCCUCAUACAGAGACUCACCUUCGUAUUGUUUGAAAUUGACAAUUUCUUGCCUGAGCUG
rfam:Gossypium hirsutum cultivar TM-1 chromosome 12, whole genome shotgun sequence